ensembl:lncRNA
GGGAUUGGGGCCCUGUGGGGCGCUAUAAGGGCCCUAGGGGGUGGAAUUGGGGCCCUAUGGGGUGCUAUAAGGGCCCUAGGGGGUGGUAUUGGGGCUCUGUUGGGGUCCUAUAGGGCCCUGUGGGGCUCUGUUAGGUCCCUCUAGGGCUCUAUUGGGGCUCUAUGGGUGAUAUUGGGGCCCUAUGGGGUGCCUCUAGGGCCCUAGGGGGUGGGAUUGGGGCCCAAUGGGGCACUAUAAGGGCCCUAGGGGGUGGUAUUGGGGCCCUAUGGGGUGCUAUAAGGGCCCUAGGGGUGGUAUUGGGGCUCUAUUAGGGUCCUAUAGGGCCCUGUGGGGCUCUAUUAGGUCCCUCUAGGGCUCUAUUGGGGCUCUAUGGGUGAUAUUGGGGCCCUAUGGGGCGCUAUAAGGGCCCUAGGGGGUGGGAUUGGGGCCCUAUGGGGUGCUAUAACGGCCCUAGGGGUGGUAUUGGGGCCCUGUGGGGCGCUAUAAGGGCCCUAGGGAUGGUAUUGGGGCUCUAUUGGGGUCCUACAGGGCCCUGUGGGGCUCUGUUAGGUCCCUAUAGGGCUCUACUGGGGCUCUAUGGGGCGCUAUGGGGUGCUGUAAGGGCCCUAGGGGGCGCUAUAAGGGCCCUAGGGGGUGGUAUUGGGACCCUAUGGGGCGCUAUAAGGGCCCUAGGGGGUGGUAUUGGGGCCCUAUGGGGCGCUAUAAGGGCCCUAGGGGUGGUAUUGGGGCUCUGUUGGGGUCCUGUAGGGCCCUGUGGGGCUCCAUUAGGUUCCUAUAGGGCUCUAUUGGGGCUCUAUGGGUGAUAUUGGGGCCCUAUGGGGCACUGUAAGGGCCCUAGGGGGUGAUACUGGGGCUCUAUGGGGUGCUAUGGGGCGCUGUAAGGUCCCUAGGGGGUGAUGUUGGGGCCCUAUGGGGUGCUGUAAGGUCCCUAUGGGGCACUGUAAGGGCUCUGGGGUGCUAUAAGGGCCCUAGGGGGUGGUAUUGGGGCUCUAUUGGGGUCCUAUAGGGCCCUGUGGGGCUCUAUUAGGUCCCUAUAGGGCUCUACUGGGGCUCUAUGGGGUGCUAUGGGGCGCUAUAAGGUCCCUAGGGGGUGAUGUUGGGGCCCUAUGGGGUGCUGUAAGGUCCCUAUGGGGCGCUGUAAGGGCCCUAGUGGGUGGUAUUGGGGCCCUGUGGGGGGCUAUAAGGGCCCUAGGGGGUGGGAUUGGGGCUCUAUUGGGGGUCCUAUAGGGCCCUGUGGGGCUCCAUUAGGUCCCUAUAGGGCUCUAUUGGGGCUCUAUGGGUGGUAUUGGGGCCCUGUGGGGCGCUAUAAGGGCCCUAGGGGGUGGUAUUAGGGCUCUGUUGGGGUCCUAUAGGGCCCUGUGGGGCUCCACUGGGUUCCUCUAGGGCUCUAUCGGGGCUCUAUGGGGCGCUAUAAGGACCCUAGGGGGUGGUACUGGGGCUCUAUUGGGGUCCUAUAGGGCCCUGUGGGGCUCUGUUAGGUCCAUAUAGGGCUCUAUUGAGGCUCUAUGGGUGAUAUUGGGGCCCUGUGGGGCGCUAUAAGGGCCCUAGGGGGUGGGAUUGGGGCCCUACGGGGCGCUAUAAGGGCCCUAGGGGGUGGUAUUGGGGCUCUAUUGGGGUCCUAUAGGGCCCUGUGGGGCUCCAUUAGGUUCCUCUAGGGCUCUAUUGGGGCUCUAUGGGUGACAUUGGGGCCCUAUGGGGUGCCAUAAGGGCCCUAGGGGGUGGGAUUGGGGCCCUGUGGGGGGCUAUAAGGGCCCUAGGGGGUGGGAUUGGGGCUCUGUUGGGGUCCUAUAGGGCCCUGUGGGGCUCUGUUAGGUCCCUAU